rnacentral:rRNA from 1 species
GACGAACGCUGGCGGCGUGCUUAACACAUGCAAGUCGAGGGCACUAUUGGGGGCAACCUGGUAGUGACCGGCGAACGGGUGCGUAACACGUGAACAACCUGCCCUCGUGUGGGGGAUAGCCAUGCUAACGCGUGGGUAAUACCGCAUACGUUCUUCUGGGGGAGUCCCUGGGGGAGGAAAGCUCCGGCGCACGGGGAGGGGUUCGCGGCCUAUCAGCUAGUUGGCGGGGUAAUGGCCCACCAAGGCGACGACGGGUAGCUGGUCUGAGAGGAUGGCCAGCCACAUUGGGACUGGGAUACGGCCCAGACUCCUACGGGAGGCAGCAGUGGGGAAUAUUGCACAAUGGGCGCAAGCCUGAUGCAGCGACGCCGCGUGAGGGACGACGGCCU